AUUGAACGCUGGCGGCAGGCCUAACACAUGCAAGUCGAACGGUAACAGGAAGCAGCUUGCUGCUUUGCUGACGAGUGGCGGACGGGUGAGUAAUGUCUGGGAAACUGCCCGAUGGAGGGGGAUAACUACUGGAAACGGUAGCUAAUACCGCAUAACGUCGCAAGACCAAAGAGGGGGACCUUAGGGCCUCUUGCCAUCGGAUGUGCCCAGAUGGGAUUAGCUAGUAGGUGGGGUAACGGCUCACCUAGGCGACGAUCCCUAGCUGGUCUGAGAGGAUGACCAGCCACACUGGACCUGAGACACGGUCCAGACUCCUACGGGAGGCAGCAGUGGGGAAUAUUGCACAAUGGGCGCAAGCCUGAUGCAGCCAUGCCGCGUGUAUGAAGAAGGCCUUCGGGUUGUAAAGUACUUUCAGCGGGGAGGAAGGGAGUAAAGUUAAUACCUUUGCUCAUUGACGUUACCCGCAGAAGAAGCACCGGCUAACUCCGU
rnacentral:rRNA from 1 species